CCUACGGGAGGCAGCAGUGAGGAAUAUUGGUCAAUUGUCGCGAUCCUUAACCAGCCAAGUAGCGUGAAGGAUGACUGCCCUACGGGUUGUAAACUUCUUUUAUAAAGGAAUAAAGUGAGGCACGUGUGCCUUUUUGUAUGUACUUUAUGAAUAAGGAUCGGCUAACUCCGUGCCAGCAUCCGCGGUAAUACGUAGGUGGCAAGCGUUGUCCGGAUUUACUGGGUGUAAAGGGCGUGCAGCCGGGAAGACAAGUCAGAUGGGAAAUCCCGCGGCUCAACCGCGGAACUGCAUUUGAAACUGGCAAACUGGAGUGUGUGAGAGGAUAGUGGAAUUCCAGGUGUAGGAGUGAAAUCCGUAGAUAUCUGGAGGAACAUCAGUGGCGAAGGCGACUAUCUGGCACAUAACUGACGCUGAGGAGCGAAAGCGUGGGUAGCAAACAGGAUUAGAUACCCCAGUAGUC
rnacentral:rRNA from 1 species